rnacentral:rRNA from 1 species
CAGCCGCCACGGUAAUACGAAGGGGGCUCGCGUUGUUCGGAUUUACUGGGCGUAAAGGGCGCGUAGGCGGGCGAUUAAGUCAGGGGUGAAAUCCCAAGGCUCAACCUUGGAACUGCCUUUGAUACUGAUUGUCUUGAGUUCGAGAGAGGUAAGUGGAACUGCGAGUGUAGAGGUGAAAUUCGUAGAUAUUCGCAAGAACACCAGUGGCGAAGGCGGCUUACUGGCUCGAUACUGACGCUGAGGCGCGAAAGCGUGGGGAGCAAACAGGAUUAGAUACCCCAGUAGUCCCUGUCUCUUAUAC